UGGCGAACGGGUGAGUAACACGUGGGCAACCUGCCCAAAAGAGGGGGAUAACACUUGGAAACAGGUGCUAAUACCGCAUAACCAUAGUUACCGCAUGGUAACUAUGUAAAAGGUGGCUAUGCUACCGCUUUUGGAUGGGCCCGCGGCGCAUUAGCUAGUUGGUGGGGUAAAGGCUUACCAAGGCAAUGAUGCGUAGCCGAACUGAGAGGUUGAUCGGCCACAUUGGGCUGAGACACGGCCCAAACUCCUACGGGAGGCAGCAG
rnacentral:rRNA from 1 species